CGCUGGCGGCAUGCCUAACACAUGCAAGUCGAACGGGGGUAGCAAUACCCUAGUGGCGAACGGGUGAGUAACACAUAAGCAAUCUGCCCUUCACAGGGGGAUAACAGCGGGAAACUGCUGCUAAUACCGCAUAAGACCACGGUACCGCAUGGUACAGGGGUAAAAACGAAUCAGUGGUGAAGGAUGAGCUUAUGUCCCAUUAGCUAGUUGGUGAGAUAACAGCCCACCAAGGCGACGAUGGGUAGCCGACCUGAGAGGGUGAUCGGCCACACUGGAACUGAGACACGGUCCAGACUCCUACGGGAGGCAGCAGUGGGGAAUAUUGGGCAAUGGAGGAAAAACCUCUUACCCAGCAAUGCCGCGUGAGUGAAGAAGGUCUUCGGAUUGUAAAGCUCUUUGAUUGGGGACGAAGAAAGUGACGGUACCCAAAGAACAAGCCCCGGCUAACUACGUGCCAGCCGCAGC
rnacentral:rRNA from 1 species